GAUCCUGGCUCAGGAUGAACGCUAGCUACAGGCUUAACACAUGCAAGUCGAGGGGCAGCAUUGGAGUAGCAAUACUCAGAUGGCGACCGGCGCACGGGUGAGUAACACGUAUCCAACCUGCCGCUUACUCGGGGAUAGCCUUUCGAAAGAAAGAUUAAUACCCGAUGGUAUAAAGAGUUCGCAUGUUCUCUUUAUUAAAGAAUUUCGGUAAGCGAUGGGGAUGCGUUCCAUUAGAUAGUUGGCGGGGUAACGGCCCACCAAGUCUACGAUGGAUAGGGGUUCUGAGAGGAAGGUCCCCCACAUUGGAACUGAGACACGGUCCAAACUCCUACGGGAGGCAGCAGUGAGGAAUAUUGGUCAAUGGACGAGAGUCUGAACCAGCCAAGGUAAGCGUGAAGGAUGACUGCCCUAUGGGUUGUAAACUUCUUUUAUAAGGGAAUAAAGUGAGGGACGUGUCCCUUUUUGUAUGUACCUUAUGAAUAAGGAUCGGCUAACUCCGUGCCAGCCGCGGC
rnacentral:rRNA from 1 species